GGCGGAGCCAGGCUGAGCCAAAGUCGGCUCAUUUUCCACAUAGCCUGCAUUAAUAGAGUCAUUUUGUAGUUUUUAUAGCUGCUAGGCGUAAAGAGUUCACCGUUCAAAGCGGGAUGUUUAUUGCGGGGGAGGAGCCACGGCGGCAGUCGUGAUCGUAAUUUCCGGUAGCAGGCAGCCAGAACGUAGAUGACGUUGUUGCACAGACAUCGAUGGCGAUAACAUGUAUCUUCUUGCAACCGCUAUAAAUCCCAGGAUGCAUUUCGCACUCGCAGCAGUACGAUGGCGGACAAUAUGGAGAAGACGCACAACUUAUGGAAGGGGAGAUUUGGAGGUACCUGGAUCAGGUCUUGGGUCAGCCUUCAAAUCCCAGAUGUGGAGACUGCAGGGAUACCCGAGAGGACACUAAAGAGCCAUCUCUCAUUCAUCGAGUGGACUCAUUGGUUUGCGAAUGACCACAAAGAUGCUCCCAUAGGCAGAUUGCUGCAUGGCAUUCACCACUUAUUCAAAUUGUAGGGGUUGAAGCAGUCUUCCUUGUGGUCACUUGCCAUAACACUGUCAUGUGUUUUAUCAAAACACAAUCAGUAACAUUUAAAUUGAGUUGAUGUCGACGGCUCUUUUUUUGUCUGAUUUUUUCAGUGUUCAGUGCCAGUUUGUGAGAUAUGCAUUGUUUGAAAGAUAAGCCUUUGAUUUUGGUUAAUUUUAAUAUGCCUUUCAUCAACAGUGGUUUGGGGUUUUAUAACGACAAUUAAAGUGCCUAACUACUGGUGAACGAUGUUGCAGAACAUAUAUGGUUUGUGUUGAUUGCAUGGAAAAGGGAAUAACCAGUUACAACUUAUAUUGUAAGAGCCUGGUAAUACCAUGGAAACAAACGAGGCUUCCUUUUACAGUACAGUUUCAGCUUACUUACUGGGUAAAUUGUCGUGUUUUACUUGGUAACGUCGCAGAACGUACACGGUAC
ensembl:lncRNA